rnacentral:misc_RNA from 1 species
UUUCCGUAGGUGAACCUGCGGAGGGAUCAUUACAGAGUUCAUGCCCUACCGGGUAGAUCUCCCACCCUAUGUUAUUAUUACUUUGUUGCUUUGGCGGGCCGUUAGGCUCCGGCCCGACUACCGGCCCCGGCUGGUAAGCGCCCGCAAGAGGACCCAAAACCCUGAAUAUUAGUGUUGUCUGAGUACUAUAUAAUAGUUAAAACUUUCAACAACGGAUCUCUUGGUUCUG